rnacentral:misc_RNA from 1 species
UUUCCGUAGGUGAACCUGCGGAAGGAUCAUUAUUGUAUAACCGAGGUGCGAGGGCUGUCGCUGACCCGAAAGGUCGUGCACGCCCGAGUGCCCUCACACGCAUCCAUCUCACCCCUAUGUGCACCACCGCGUGGGUCCCCCUUUGGCUUGUUCGGAGGGGGGCUUACGUUACCACACAAACUUUGUAUGCAGUGUAGAAUGUAUUUUUUGUUUUUGCGAUCACGCAAUCAAUACAACUUUCAACAACGGAUCUCUUGGCUCUC